GACGAACGCUGGCGGCGUGCUUAGCACAUGCAAGUCGAACGGAAAGGCCCUGCUUUUGUGGGGUGCUCGAGUGGCGAACGGGUGAGUAACACGUGAGUAACCUGCCCUUGACUUUGGGAUAACUUCAGGAAACUGGCGCUAAUACCGGAUAGGAGCUCCUGCUGCAUGGUGGGGGUUGGAAAGUUUCGGCGGUUGGGGAUGGACUCGCGGCUUAUCAGCUUGUUGGUGGGGUAGUGGCUUACCAAGGCUUUGACGGGUAGCCGGCCUGAGAGGGUGACCGGCCACAUUGGGACUGAGAUACGGCCCAGACUCCUACGGGAGGCAGCAGUGGGGAAUAUUGCACAAUGGGCGGAAGCCUGAUGCAGCAACGCCGCGUGCGGGAUGACGGCCUUCGGGUUGUAAACCGCUUUCGCCUGUGACGAAGCGUGAGUGACGGUAAUGGGUAAAGAAGCACCGGCUAACUACGUG
rnacentral:rRNA from 1 species